AUUGAACGCUGGCGGCAGGCUUAACACAUGCAAGUCGAGCGAGCGGCGGACGGGUGAGUCAUGUCUGGGAAACUGCCUGGUGGAGGGGGAUAACUACUGGAACCGGUAGCUAAUACCACCUACCAUCAGAUGUGCCCAGAUGGGAUUAGCUAGUAGGUGGGGUAAUGGCUCACCUAGGCGACGAUCCCUAGCUGGUCUGAGAGGAUGACCAGCAACACUUGAACUGAGACACGGGCUAGAAUCCUAAGUGAGGCAGCAGUGGGGAAUAUUGCACAAUGGGCGCAAGCCUGAUGCAGCCAUGCCGCGUGUGUGAAGAAGGCCUUCGGGUUGUAAAGCACUUUCAGCUAGGAGGCGUCACUCGCAGAAGAAGCACCGGCUAACUCCGUGCCAGCAGCCGCGGUAAUAC
rnacentral:rRNA from 1 species